rnacentral:tRNA from 1 species
GUAUUUAAUCUAAAUAAGAACACUGAUUUCGACUUAAUAAAUUUCGGUUAAUUAUCCCAAAAAUACU